UGUCAUUCAGUGGUGGAGUACUUGCCUAGCACGCAAGAGUCCUGGGUUCCAUCCCCAGCA
rnacentral:tRNA from 1 species